GACGAACGCUGGCGGCGUGCUUAACACAUGCAAGUCGAACGGAAAGGCCCUGCUUUUGUGGGGUGCUCGAGUGGCGAACGGGUGAGUAACACGUGAGUAACCUGCCCUUGACUUUGGGAUAACUUCAGGAAACUGGGGCUAAUACCGGAUAGGAGCUCCUGCUGCAUGGUGGGGGUUGGAAAGUUUCGGCGGUUGGGGAUGGACUCGCGGCUUAUCAGCUUGUUGGUGGGGUAGUGGCUUACCAAGGCUUUGACGGGUAGCCGGCCUGAGAGGGUGACCGGCCACAUUGGGACUGAGAUACGGCCCAGACCACUACGGGAGGCAGCAGUGGGGAAUAUUGCACAAUGGGCGGAAGCCUGAUGCAGCAACGCCGCGUGCGGGAUGACGGCCUUCGGGUUGUAAACCGCUUUCGCCUGUGACGAAGCGUGAGUGACGGUAAUGGGUAAAGAAGCACCGGCUAACUACGUG
rnacentral:rRNA from 1 species